GAUGAACGCUAGCUACAGGCUUAACACAUGCAAGUCGAGGGACCGGCGCACGGGGGAGUAACACGUAUCCCACCUGCCCUUUACUCGUGGAUAGCCUUUCGAAAGAAAGAUUAAUACCCGAUGUAAAGGAUGGGGAUGCGUUCCAUUAGGUUGUGGGGGAGGUAACGGCUCACCAAGCCUUCGAUGGAUCGGGGUUCUGAAAGGAAGGCACCCAAGAUUGGAACUGAGACCCGGUCCAAACUCCUACGCGAGGCAGGAGUGAGGAAUAUUGGGCAAUGGGCGGUAGCCUGACCCAGCCAAGUAGCGUGAAGAAUGAAGCCUUAUGGGUCGUAAUCUUCUUUUAUAUAAGAAUAUGUAUUAUAUGAAUAAGGAUCGGCUAACUCCGUGCCAGCAGCCGCGGUAAUUC
rnacentral:rRNA from 1 species